rnacentral:misc_RNA from 1 species
AACUUACUGCAACGGAUCUCGUGGUUCUGGCAUCGAUUAAGAACGCAGCGAAAUGCGAUAAGUAAUGUGAAUUGCAGAAUACAGUGAAUCAUCGAAUCUUUGAACGCACAUUGCGCCCCUUGGCAUUCCGAGGGGCAUGCCUGUUCGAGCGUCAUUUAAACCAAUCCAGCGUGCUGGGUCUUGGGCUUUCGCCUCUGGGCGGGCCUCAAAGUCAGUGGCGGUGCUGCCAGGCUCUAAGCGUAGUAAUUCUUCUCGCUACAGGGUCCUGGUGGAGGCUUGCCAACAACCCCAAAUAUUUCAAAGGUUGACCUCGGAUCAGGUAGGGAUACCCGCUGAACUUAAGCAUAUCAAUAAGCGGAGGCU